rnacentral:rRNA from 1 species
UGGGGGAUGGUCUGGCUUGUCCACCGAAGAAGGGCGUGCCAAGCUGCGAAAAGCGGUGGGUAGGCGCAUGGAGCCGUUGAUCCACCGAUGCCUGAAUGGGACUUCCUGCCGCAAGGCGGUCAGUAAUGACCGGGAACCCCCCGAAGUAAAGCAUUCUAGUAGGGGGAGGAAAAGAAACCAAUAGGGAUUCCCUUAGUAAAGGCGAUCGAACAGGGAAGAGAGCAAACCGAAUCCACCCAGUAAUGGAGUGGAGAUGUGGUGUUUGGACCUUCGCAUUUCUGGCCAUCCUGACUCGAAGUUCCCUGGAACGGGACGCCAUAGAGGGUGACAGCCCUGUAGAGGAAGGGAUGGUAGAAAAUUGGAGGUAUCCAGAGUACCAUGCGUUGGAUAUCGCGUGGGAAUAUGGGAGGCACAAACUUCCAACUCUAAAUAUGUGACAAGUCCGAUAGUGGAUAUAGUAGUGUGAACAAACACUGAAAAGCACCCUUAGCGGGGAGUGAAAAGUACCUGAAACCAGGUGGUUAUAAGCCGAGACGGCGGGAAAGCGUAAUGCACCGUCGUCACGUCCGUGCUGAAAAACGGGCCAGGGAGUUCCGAUCAGCGGCGAGGUUAAGUGAGUUAAUCACGUAGCCGGAGCGAAAGCAAAGGUCCACAGCCCGUAAGGGUGAGGGACUGGGUGUGUUCGCCCGGAGUCGCUGGUGGGAGACCCGAAGCCGGCAGAUCUAUCCCUGGGUAGGUUGAAGCCCUCUGAAAGGGGGGUGGAGGACCGAACCGAUGCUGACGUGCAAAUCGUUCGGAUGACCUGGGGAUAGGGGUGAAAGGCCAAUCUAGGCCGGGAAUGGCUGGUUCCUCCCGAAACUACUCGCAGGUAGACCUCACCGGAGAUUGCCUGUGAUGUAGAGUGACUGAUUAGGUGCUUAGGGCCCGAAAGGGCUCGGCAUCUUAUCAAACUCCGAAGUUGCAGGCGUCGUAGAAGGUGGGUGUGAGGGCCACAGGGGUAAGCCCGUGGUGCGAAAGGGAAUGCAACCCAGCCCCAAGUUAAGGUCCCUAAAUACGGACUAAGUGUUAUGAGAAAGGGAGUCAUAUGACUAAGACACCUGGGAGGUUGGCUUAGAAGCAGCCAUCCUUUAAAGAGUGCGUAACAGCUCACCAGUCGAGUCAUAUGGCCUCGAAAAUGAACGGGGCUCAAGUCCGUUACCGAUACUUGGGAGCACCGAAAGGUGAUCUAGUAGGGAGGUGUCGAGUGUGGGCAGAAGUAAGGGCGUGAGCUCUUAUGGACCGCACUCGAAUACGGAUCCUGGGAAGAGUAGCAGCAAAGAGGGGUGAGAACCCCCUCCGCCGAAGGGGCAAGGGUUCCUCGACAAUGUCCGUCAGUCGAGGGUUAGUCGGUCCUAAGGAUGCGCUUAAUCGCAGCGUCCGAAAGGGAAGCAGGUUAAUAUUCCUGCACCGCAGUGUUAAAGCCCUGCAUCUGACGCAUCGUGGUAGUCCAAGCAUACUUGCCUGUAUGUCCAAGCGUAUUAAGGGUGGGGAGUGCCGUAAUGGCGAGAACCACCCCAAAGCGUGAUGGGGUCUCCGUAGGGAGACUUUGGAUGAUCCAUGGUGCCAGUGAAAAGGAUGCAGGGGCAAGCUGCGUCCGUACCUAGAACUGACACAGGUGCCCCUGGGUGAGAAGCCCAAGGCGUGUCGGCGAGAAUUCGAGCGAGGGAAUUCGGCAAAUUAGCCCCGUAACUUCGGGAUAAGGGGUGCCAGCCUAGAGAUAGGCUGGUCGCAGUGACAAGGGCGCUCCGACUGUUUAAUAAAAACAUAGACGGCUGCAAGACCGAAAAGGUUUUGUAUAGCCGUUGAAGCCUGCCCAGUGCCGGUAUCUGAACACCCGUUACAACGGGACGAAGGACCGGUAAACGGCGGGGGUAACUAUGACCCUCUUAACCCUUUUGCCCUGUAACGCAGGCAAAAGCGUUAAAGGAAAAGGGGGAGAUAGGUAGCGUAAUACCUUGUCGCUUAAUUGGCGACUUGCAUGAAGGCCCAACGAGAGCGCUACUGUCCCCGCUCGGAAGCCGGCGAAACUGACUUACUGGCGAACAGUCCAGUAUCUUCCACCUGAAAGCGAAGACCCCGUGGAGCUUUACUGCAGCCUGUGGUUGUGAUACGGUUCUGGAUGUGUAGUGUAGGCGGGACCCGUUACAAAGGGCCUGUCGCUAGGCAGGUACCGAGGGGCCGAUGAAACACCGCCCUUCUGGAAUCGUACCACUAACUUCUUUCGGGGAGGACACCCAUAGGUAGGCAGUUUGGGUGGGGCGCCACGCCCUCAAAAAGAUAACAAGGGCCCCCAAAGGUCGGCUCAGGUAGGUCAGAAAUCUACCGUAGAGUGCAAGGGCAUAAGCCGGCUUGACGCUGUUGCGCCCAACGAGCAACAGCGAUGCGAAAGCAGGGCCUAGCGAACUACUCAACCUCCUUUGUGGGGGUGAGUAAUAAGAGAAAAGUUACCCCGGGGAUAACUGAGUCGUCUCCAGCAAGAGUUCACAUCGACCUGGAGGCUUGCUACUUCGAUGUCGGUUCUUCCUAUCCUGUGGUGAAUGAGCUGCCAAGGGUGGGGUUGUUCGCCCAUUAAAAGGGAUCGUGAGCUGGGUUUACACCGUCGCGAGACAGGUGUGUUGCUUUUUGGUGGAAGUGCAUUGGUGCCUGAGGAGAAGGUCCCUUUAGUACGAGAGGAACGAGGGAUCGGAGCCUCUAGUUCAUCGGUUGUCCGGCAGGGCAUUGCCGAGCAGCCACGCUCCAAGGGAUAAAGGCUGAAAGCAUCUAAGCCUGAAGCCCACUUCAAAAAGAGGCACCUUUAAGGGCAUCCGUAAAUGACGGGUUUGAUAGAGCAGGGGUGUAAGCACCGAG